AGUUACGUAGCGGAUGAAGGGAGCUUGCUCCUGGAUUCAGCGGCGGACGGGUGAGUAAUGCCUAGGAAUCUGCCUGGUAGUGGGGGAUAACGUCCGGAAACGGGCGCUAAUACCGCAUACGUCCUGAGGGAGAAAGUGGGGGAUCUUCGGACCUCACGCUAUCAGAUGAGCCUAGGUCGGAUUAGCUAGUUGGUGGGGUAAAGGCCUACCAAGGCGACGAUCCGUAACUGGUCUGAGAGGAUGAUCAGUCACACUGGAACUGAGACACGGUCCAGACUCCUACGGGAGGCAGCAGUGGGGAAUAUUGGACAAUGGGCGAAAGCCUGAUCCAGCCAUGCCGCGUGUGUGAAGAAGGUCUUCGGAUUGUAAAGCACUUUAAGUUGGGAGGAAGGGCAGUAAGUUAAUACCUUGCUGUUUUGACGUUACCAACAGAAUAAGCACCGGCUAACUUCGUGCCAGCAGCCGCGGUAAUACGAAGGGUGCAAGCGUUAAUCGGAAUUACUGGGCGUAAAGCGCGCGUAGGUGGUUCAGCAAGUUGGAUGUGAAAUCCCCGGGCUCAACCUGGGAACUGCAUCCAAAACUACUGAGCUAGAGUACGGUAGAGGGUGGUGGAAUUUCCUGUGUAGCGGUGAAAUGCGUAGAUAUAGGAAGGAACACCAGUGGCGAAGGCGACCACCUGGACUGAUACUGACACUGAGGUGCGAAAGCGUGGGGAGCAAACAGGAUUAGAUA
rnacentral:rRNA from 1 species